rnacentral:rRNA from 1 species
GACGAACGCUGGCGGCGUGCCUAAUACAUGCAAGUCGAACGCUGAAGGAGGAGCUUGCUCUUCUGGAUGAGUUGCGAACGGGUGAGUAACGCGUAGGUAACCUGCCUGGUAGCGGGGGAUAACUAUUGGAAACGAUAGCUAAUACCGCAUAACAGUAGAUGUUGCAUGACAUUUACUUAAAAGGUGCAAUUGCAUCCCUACCAGAUGGACCUGCGUUGUAUUAGCUAGUUGGUGGGGUAACGGCUCACCAAGGCGACGAUACAUAGCCGACCUGAGAGGGUGAUCGGCCACACUGGGACUGAGACACGGCCCAGACUCCUACGGGAGGCAGCAGUAGGGAAUCUUCGGCAAUGGACGGAAGUCUGACCGAGCAACGCCGCGUGAGUGAAGAAGGUUUUCGGAUCGUAAAGCUCUGUUGUAAGAGAAGAACGAGUGUGAGAGUGGAAAGUUCACACUGUGACGGUAGCUUACCAGAAAGGGACGGCUAACUACGUG